GGCGGCAUAGCUCAGGUGGUCAGAGCAUGCGGCUCAUAUCCGCAGUGUCCGGGGUUCGAAUCCCUGUGCCGCCA
rnacentral:tRNA from 1 species